UUCACACUUUAGUACUCUGUUAUUUAAACUGGGGAAAACUUCAAAAACCCCCCUGUGGUUUCGUGCAUUCUCACUUUGCUACCCUGUGGUUUAAAACGUAUCAAUUUACCCCCCUGUGGUUUCAUUUUUAUCUUUUCGAAAGCUUUUUCGUUAAUAUUUCGUUAAAUUAUAUACAAAAAACUUCAGAUAACCAUCUAUAUUUAUCGAAUAGUCACUUUAGUAUCCUUUAAUUUUAACUUUGUCACUGAUUUAAAAAAAUAUAAUAAUAAAAUUGAUAACAAAAAGAUAAAAACGAAACCACAGGGGGGCAAAUUGAUACGUUUUAAACCACAGGAUAGCAAAGUGAGAAUGCACGAAACCACAGGGGGGGUUUUUGAAGUUUUCCCUUUAAACUGUAUCGAAUUAGUACUCUGUAGUUUUAUUUUUAUUUUUUUAUUAUCAAUUUAACUAAUUUUUUUUAUUAAAUUAAUGACAAAGUUAAAACUAAAGGAUACUAAAGUGAAUAUUCAAUAAACUUAUAUGGAGUAUCUGAAAUUUUUUGUAUAUAUAAUUUAACAAAAUUUUAACGAAAAGCUGACGAAAAGAUAAAAAUGAAACCACAGGACAUUAACCCACAGGACAUUAAAGUGAGAAAGUGCGAAACCACAGGGAUGGUAUUUGAAGUUUAUCCUAUUAUAUAUCAAUUUUAUUUUUGUCCAAGAGUCAUGAUUCUCUUUUCUAGAAUUUAAUUUAUUUUUUUGAAUUGUAGUAUUAAAAAUAUCGAAUAAUUUUUUAAUUUUUAAACUAAAGGUAAAAUUAAUACGUGACAGAGAAUCAGAAACUUUUUCUUUAGGC
rnacentral:lncRNA from 1 species